rnacentral:piRNA from 1 species
UAGCAUGUAUUCUUUGUCCUGCAUGGGUGU